AGCCACCGAGGGGGCAGAAGCCAGGUGGCAUGGGCUGGGUCUCGCCCUGCACAGGGUCUGUCCCCAGAGACAGUGUCAUGGUGGGGUGGAGUCAUGUGAGCUGGGAUCCAGGAAACUGGCCACUUCCCUGUUUCAGAGGUCCCUGGACACAUCUGGAACACCUCUGGGCUCCCUCUGGGCCUCAGCCUCCUCAUCGGUAAAAGGGAGCCGCUGGUUUUGCUGAUCUGGAAAGUUCCUGCCAGCUUUGAGCAUUGAUGGCUUUCAGUUGUGGAUUCUGGGUUCUCUGCUCCUUUGCACCCUAAGACUGUACCACACGGAGUCUGAUGCUUAAGGAUGUCCGACCUGAGUCCCAGGUGAGGAAUUCAGGGUUGAUGUUUGAGAGUCAAGAGUCCCAGUGUCCAGAAUCUUCCCCUCUGCGGCUCUCACAUCUGCGUCUGCCAGGAGCUGCAGGAGGUGCCCUCCCCUGGGCCAGCCCAGGGCCCUCCAUGGUCGCCCAGCACACAUGGUCCCUGCCUUCCUUGGAGCCCCCGUGGGCUGGCCCCAGGGUGAGGUCCCCCAGUUGAGGCUGCUGCUGGUAAGGAACAGCUGGCACAAGAUGUCCUUCUCCUUGGUCCAUGCCACUCAGAGCCAUUCCCAGACCCCGACCUGGGUCACCAGGUGAGGCAGGGUCACCUCACUGUCCAGCCUGACCUGCAUGCUCAGGCCUGUGGCUCCCUGCAGGAUAGAAGAGAGGCCAGGGCUCUGUGGGCCUGCAGUGUGCACAGGCGCCUGCUGUCCAACCCUAGGGAGCCUGGGGGCAGGUUCGGAGCCUAGACCUGAGGGGGGGGGGCACAGUGUGGUCGCUGGCGGUCAGGUCAGAGUGAUACAGGUGGAGGAGGGGCAAGGCAGAGGCCAGAGUGGCAAGUAACAGAGGGGUUUCUGUCUCAAUUGCUGUGGCCCAGAAUGUCUUCCUUUUGAGGUCUAGAGGAAUGGAUUUCUCCCACUUGUUCUCUUCUCUUGUUUCUGGGCGCUGGGAAUGAACCCCAGCUUCACGUGCCAGGCGACGUCUCCCACUAGCAGCAGGCAGGCUGCCCCGCUGGAGGGCCGGCUGCUCAUGACUGGGUCCUUGCAGGUCAACUAGAUCUACACUUGGCUACCAGCUGGCUUUGCUCUGCAAGGUGUAACUGUUCCGUGCGAGGGCAGACGUGCGCCGGGACAAGCCGUCUGACUGCCCCCCGCCCCUCAGCUUGGACCUGCGGCAGGACCACUUUCCUUGUCCAUCUGUUGCCUGUGUCUGAUCCAACCCUCCCGGAUCCAGUGAGGGCCCUGCGCUACCUGCGGAUAACAAUACCCCCAGCCCCGUGGGCUGCCAGCUGGUGGAGGGUCUCUGGAGGAGGUCGAGUCUGGGGCUCUGAGGGAGGCAUAGAAGUCGAGCUGCGCCAACUGGAGGGGAAGAGGUUUAGGGGCCAGACCCCUGUGUGGAUAAAGACCCGGCUCCUCAGUAAAAUGCAUCGCGUGUAGGUGGCCAAGGGCCAGGUGGAGCGGGGCAGGCGGGCUGCGGGCUGGAGCCACCACGGAGAAGGUGUGCGGGUGAACAAGUGGGGAGACUGAGGCAGCGGGGACUGGGAUGACCUCGAGGUCACGCCGCUGGACAGGAGCCUAAGCAGGGUUGUCUUCGGCUGGCAUCAAUCUAGGGUUCCCCCACGAGCCCCAGUCUCUGGCGGUCAGGCCCUCGCAGACCCCCAGCGCGGAACUACAUUUCCCAGGCUGCUGCGGGGGCGCGCCUGCGC